AGAGUUUGAUCAUGGCUCAGGACGAACGCUGGCGGCGUGCCUAAUACAUGCAAGUCGAACGCUUCUGCUUUAACUGAUGUUUGCAUCGACCUAAGUUAGAAGAGUGGCGAACGGGUGAGUAACACGUGGGUAACCUGCCCAUCAGAGGGGGAUAACACUUGGAAACAGGUGCUAAUACCGCAUAACACUAAAAACCGCAUGGUUUUUGGUUGAAAGGCGCUUCUGGUGUCGCUGAUGGAUGGACCCGCGGUGCAUUAGCUAGUCGGUGGGGUAACGGCCUACCGAGGCAAUGAUGCAUAGCCGACCUGAGAGGGUGAUCGGCCACAUUGGGACUGAGACACGGCCCAAACUCCUACGGGAGGCAGCAGUAGGGAAUCUUCGGCAAUGGACGUAAGUCUGACCGAGCAACGCCGCGUGAGUGAUGAAGGUUUUCGGAUCGUAAAACUCUGUUGUUAGAGAAGAACAGGAGAAGUAGUAACUGGCUUCUCCUUGGCGGUAUCUAACCAGAAAGCCACGGCUAACUACGUGCCAGCAGCCGCGGUAAUACGUAGGUGGCAAGCGUUGUCCGGAUUUAUUGGGCGUAAAGCGAGCGCAGGCGGUCUUUUAAGUCUGAUGUGAAAGCCUCCGGCUUAACCGGAGAGGGUCAUUGGAAACUGGGAGACUUGAGUGCAGAAGAGGAAAGUGGAACUCCAUGUGUAGCGGUGGAAUGCGUAGAUAUAUGGAAGAACACCAGUGGCGAAGGCGGCUUUCUGGUCUGUAACUGACGCUGAGGCUCGAAAGCGUGGGGAGCAAACAGGAUUAGAUACCCUGGUAGU
rnacentral:rRNA from 1 species